CCGCUUAAUUUGGCUUGACGUCAGAUGAGUCACGAAGAGCGAGGAAAAGUUGGGAAGGACAAUAAUUUUCCUCCAUGGAAAAUAAUAGUCGCAUCAGAUAAACCGAAACCGAGUCCGAAACAAUAGUCAUCUGCGAGCGGACGAGAUGGCUAGGAAUGAAAAAACCCUCACCAAAAACGGUCUAAUUUGAUACCUUCCUUCCGCUAUCCGCUGCCGUAAAAUCUCCACCGGUAAACAAUGACGCUGCUGACAAUGCUGCAAUGUGACAUCACCAUGUACCUGUUACUGUAGCAGGUUUACUCAAAGCGAGAAUAGCUCCAAGACGCAAUAACGGAAACAUCAACAAAGAUAACAAUAACAAUGUAAAAAAAAAUGGAUCUUCUCCUAUUGCAAAAUAAUAAUAAA